AUGAAUACUGCUAUGCAGUACAUAUAGUUGGGUGGAGGAGAAAGCAUAGUUGUGGAUCUAGGGCACAGAUGGAUUGAGUUCACAGGAGUACACAAUACAUACACACACAAGAGAGAUAAAAGAUUAAUCUUUUAGGGGAAAAAAAGGCGUUUUUUUUUAACAUAAACAAUUGUUAGGUGGGAUUUUAUAUAUUCUGACCGCCGAAGAGCAGCUUUUUUAAUAAAUACACUUCACAGUACCCACUGUGUGUGUGUGUGUGUGAG
rnacentral:misc_RNA from 1 species